GGGGUCCAGAAAGGGGCAAAAAUAACCACAUGCCUUUCUUGGACUCCUGACUCUUACCACCCAAAGGGUUUUCUUGUGUAGCAACCAACAAUUCCUUGGAUGGAAACACUGGAUAGGCUAGUCAUUAUUUUGAGAUUGAAGGGACUGCAGAUUCUUGGCAGACCUCUGUUGUUUUUCUAGAGUUGUAGGCAAGUAGUUGGACAAAAAGCAAGAAGCUGAUCGAUGUUGCUGGCUUUGGAUUCUUUGUGAACAAAUGAGACAAGGCUGCAAAUUCAGAGGAUCCUCCCAGAAGAUAAGAUGGAGCAGGUCACCACCUUCUUCCCUGCUUCACACCCUCAGGCCCCGACUCUUGUCUGCUGAGAUCACUCUCCAAACCAAUCUUCCCUUACAAAGCCCUUGUUGCAGGCUAUGCUUUCUGAGGGGAACCCAGGCCAAGACACUAAAAUGACACACCAACAUGAAGACAUGAACACAAUUGCAAAGGGAUUGGUUGGAUUGCAUAUCUCUGUGAAUGGGACUCAAGAGAAGUUUGGGAAAUGCUGGACCAGAUGACCCUUGCAAUCAUGGUGCACAGAAUUAAAACCGUCAAGUUCCCCAUCCAUCUCUGAGAUGGAUGAGAAUCUGAGUCUUCCACAAGAUGCCCAAGACUUGUUAAACCCGUGGAAUGUCUUUGGGUAUGUGUGACAUCAACAAGAAGCAGCAGACAAAACAAAAUAUUUUCACAAACAUUCAGAAAUCCCUAAAUCUUGAGCCUGUGAACUCGUGCCAGAAGAGGAAAGGCUGAGCUGAUACUGCAAAGAUGUGGCAGCAGAUGGGAACUUGUGCCUGCAAGUGGGGAGCCUUGGUUUUAAUGAAUGAAAUCUAGCAAGUUCCCAUCUGGAGAUAGUGAAUCCAGGAAGAGGAUCUUGGAUUGGACAAGUGGAUGGGAUUCAGUUUGGCCAAAGGGCCAGAAAAAACUCUCAUUCUUUAAAUGAAAACCUUCUCGUCUCUUCCAACCUCCUAGUCUUAGGACAAGAUCAUUUUUAAAAGGUCUAGUUUUGUGGCUUCACACUAUGAACUAGCUGUUGUGAGUCCCAAAGAAGAAAAGAGCAUUACUUUUUUCAUUUAAAAAGUGAGCUUCAAACUCACUAGUUCUGCCUGAAGCCAGAAGCUUCCGAUUUCCACCGGCAUCUCUGUAACCGGCAUCUCUCUAAUGGGAUAAUGGGUAGUUUUCAUACUUCGAAAAGCACUGCUUUUUGUCUCUGCCGGUUGAGUAAGCUUUUGCAAGCAGGGUUGAACAAGAAACACCGUUUUGGAUGGCAAUGGUUUUAUUUACAUUAUACUCACCUAGGAGCUUGUUUUCAUGGAGGGGCUCAAAUGUGCUGGACAAUGGACUCUGAAUUAAGGAGGAGUGUGGAGAUCAUUGAAACAUUUGCUCUAGGGGAAGAAAUCAAGCAAAGAGACCUAUUCAUUCACAUUGACCUUGGAGAUAGAUAUCAAGUAAUGGGGCAAUUCAGGGCUAAUUAUUUCCUCUGGGGAGAGCAGGACUCCCAUUGGGUGUCCCAUUGGCUGUGGGUCUCUCCCUCCUGCAGUCUCAGGACCAGGAGUGUCAGAUGCCAUUCCCCAGUGGGCUGCUACCUUUGAUGCGUGCUGACAUUGUCUGGUCACAUUCCACUCCAUGAGUUGUCCUCAGCAGCCAGCCAGCCCUGGUGCCAUUGGCCAUGCCACAGUAUAACAUAGACCUGACUGUUUGAAACAGGUGGCUUUCUACUUGGGUCCCCUCUGGGAUAUUCUCAGCAUGCAAAAGGGGUUUGUUUGCACAUUCAGCAUACUUAGGCAGGCUUUAGAAAUAUUGACUUAAGUGGAAAUUGCCUCAAAAAAUACAGAUACCAGCUGGGCAUGGUGUCUCAUGCCUGUAAUCCCAGCACUUUGGGAGGCCGAGGUGGGAGGAUCACCUGAGGUCAGGAGUUCGAAACCAGCCUGGCCAACAUGGUGAAACCCCACCUCCACAAAAAUACCAAAAUUAGCCAGGCAUGAUGGCAGGUGCCUGUAAUCCCAGCUACUCAGGAGGCUGAGGUGGGAGAAUCGCUUGAACCCAGGAGGUGGGGUUUGCAGUGAGCCAAGACUGUGCCAUUGCACUCCAGCCUGGGUGACAGAGUGAGAGUCAGUCUCAAAAAAAUACAGAGUGAGAGACAGUCUCAAAAAAAUAAAAAUAAGUAAAUAAAAUACAGAUACCUCACCCCACCAUCAGAUCAAAGAAGCAGAGUCACCUGGGGAUGUGACCCAGGCAUUGGCACUUAAAAAUCUUCCCAGGUAGGUGCAUCUGGUUUGAAAACGACUGAACACAGGAAAUGAAAGCUAUUUCUUAGCUACGUUUGUGGGGAUUUCUUGGUCUCUGUCUCUCACUGUGGGUGGUGCAUGACAUUUGUAGGUGUGGACUAAAGGCCACAGGAGAGUGUUCAUGCCCCUGGGAGGGGUUUCAUGGUUGGUGGCCCUGUUGUUAGGGAAACGGGCAGUGCAUGGGCUAAGCCCACCUGGCAGGUGGACACAAACACACACUCUCAAACCCUCUUCCCGGUUGAAAAACUCUCACAUGAGUCCUGUGGUUGGGCACGCAGGGUAUCCAGGAGCCACAGAAGCUGCUGUCCCCAUGACCUCAACUUCGAGUCUGCGCUCUAAUUCUUUCUCACCUGUAUCCUGGUUUCUCAUUGAUUAAGAAGACAUUUAGUUGAUGCCAGUGAUGUUAAUGACUCAUCUUAUGACUCUUGGGGACUUUCUCUGCCCUGUAAAUACCACAUCCCUCUUCUACCAAAUAAAUGUUAUUAUUAUUAUUAUUAUUAUUAUUAUUAUUAUUAUUAUUAUUUUUGUAGCCCAUGGCCCAGUCUAAUUAUGACAAAAAGGUUUACAAAGAGACACACUUUAAAGAUAGGGACAUGGAUGGGCUCAAGACGGUAAAGGAUGUGCUGUAUUCUGCAAACCCAAGCAUAGAAGCA
rnacentral:lncRNA from 1 species